ensembl:lncRNA mucin-17-like
AUGUCAACAAGUGACGCAGGAGAGACGGAGCCCCGAGUUGUAGGAGGAGAGAGAGCGACGCCGGAGUGCGGGACGGCGCGGACGAGCAACGCAAGAGCACAGGAGGAUGAAGCCUUUGACCGUUUCCAGCAGCAGCGUCAUCAUGGUGACAUAAGCCCACAUGACCCGGACAGUCACCUGUCAGCAGUCGCACAGCAGGAAACACACCAAGUUCAUUCUGAGGUCCGGGCACAGAAGCAUGUUGGCUCCACAUUCACAUCCAGCCUCUUCCUGACACUUUCCAGUCAUCGCGCAAACAAACGGGAGCGACGACCCACAUCCCACCCUCACAGUUUGAUAGAAGCACAGAGAGCUGAGCGUGAGGACGGCAGCUGUCAGGUCCACGGACAGACUCCAGAAUCAGCCCACUGUCGACUGACCCGUGAAUGUAACGGCCUGCACAGAAUCUCAUCUGGGGACAGCUCUGACUUUAAAGCGCUCGUUGACCCAUCAAACUCCGGUACCAUGUUGUCGUCCACGGUGGUUUCGGUUCUGGCUCCGCACUGGAGCGGCCGACGCCGCGGCAAAAGGUUAGAGGAGACGAACGCCUCAGAAGCCCAGGGAAGUCCAGGAGUGGCGAACACCCUUAACCGGGCCCAGCAGCCCAGUCAGAGCCAGCGUCUUUCUGAUGGGCUCUUUACAGACGGGUCGCAAGACCGUCCGAGGGUCCCUCCUCUGGGGAGCAGGAGCCACACCGCCGGCUGGUCAAGCAGCAGUGGGCCCGCGAGCCUGAACUAUGACUGUCAGAGAAAAAUGACCCAGACGGUGUCGUUGGAUGUAAACUCUGGAAGACUGGACAACAAGUCUGGCCACACGGCUGCGUCUCCUCUGCCGCUCCUCCAUCUUAACCCCAAUGAACAAGCCGGACCCUCAAUGUUAGGCUCCAAACCAGCCACCGGCACUUCGCUUCUAACCCUGAGACGAUCCAAUGUCUUGUUUUCCUCUCUACCCCUGAACAAAGACACAGAGGACAAACAAUCUCAAAUGAUUGGUUGGUCCAAGUCCAGUCUUACAUCUUCCAAACAUUCAUUUCAAAAUAAGGCACCUUCUGAUACGAACCAAUUCCCCGAGUUGCCGGCCCGUGCCACACAUUCGUCAUUUGACUCCACCCUAAAAGAACCUUUGUUCUUUAGAAGAACCAUCCUAACAUCCAAAUCCUGGUGGAAACAGGAUGUUCAGGAGGACGGUUUCCCUCCAACCACCGGCGAUGCAGCCAAGGUGACUGACACCCACAGCCCCCCCACAGAUCCCCCCCGUAGGGAUCACAGCGACGUGGCCUCUGCUUUGCCCAACGACAGCCAAGGUUUUACUGGUUCGACCUCCAGCAACAGAGACAACAGUAACACAACAGAGUCCGUUUGCAGAAGUAACACUAACCUUGCUAUGAAGACACAGGGAGGACUUCACAAUGAACUAAGAGCAACAGACUCACCUGACCACAGGUCAGAUCCGCUGGUCAGACAGUUGUAUGGCUCCCAUUUAAAGACCAGGGAACCACAGGAGCCUCACGGUCUGACCAGCACAUUGUCCUCCUCUAUAAAUACACCACUGACUCCUACCAAGGAUUUCAAGCUUCAUGAAAGUAAUGGCUGCAUUUCAGAAAAUCUACCACGGCCCACUUUACUGAAUCCCACAAGCUCAGCUUCACCCACUGAGAGAAGCAGUACAUUUAAUUUGAAUCCUUGCUCCCCCAGGUCCUACAGCCUCCCCACGUCGCCUCACCAAAGCCCGUCUGACAGGCAGGCUUCUCCUUCCGCCACCAGCCAAGCUGAUUACACCUCCGCUGUUGCCCCCAACACCAACUCUAGCGCCGCUCUUCAUUCCCAUCCUGUUUCUUCUCAGCCUAGCAAACACACCUUAUUACACACCGGCUCUCCUUUCCAGGCCCCGAGCAGAACCAGCCCCUCCCCUCUUGGCUUUGAGAGGACCUACGCCUCCUUACCUAAGCCGUUCCGCCCUAAACCAGUGUCCAGCCUGAUUCCCAGUGUCACUGGUUUCACCAAGAACCACACCAGCCCGGUGUCCACUGCGUCUAUCUCAUCUUCCACCACUGCAGCUACAACUGUCCCCAGUCUAUACCUCACCUCUCCGUCUGCCAUUAAAACCACUCCCACUGCUGCCUCCGUCUCCUCGCUCCUGACACCUCCUGCGACGCCAGUCGGCCACAACUGCGCAGACAUUUCAAGCCCAACACUUUCAAUCAAUCCAGAAAAAGACCCCAAGAAAGGGGAGGGGAAGAGAGUCAGGCGAGUAACGUGGAACGACUCAGUGGACCUGCAGCAUCCUGGGUCCGUUUCAUUAGAGAAACCCGAUCAGGUCCCCACAAACCCCCUGUCUCCUUCCAGGUCCCCCCGAAACGUCAGCACUCCGUCCAUCUUCUCCUUCCUAAGAUCCAACAGUCCCAACAAAACUACAUCUCCCCUCAGGUCCCCUUCCCCUAAAACCUCGAGCAUCCAGGUGAGGAGCGGAGAGAAGUUUCGAUCCUUGUCGUCAGACUCUGCUGAUUUAAAAUGCAGGGAGCAGGAGAGAACGAGGCACAGGCCAAGUGACGCUGCGAUCUUUAACCAAGACAGACAAGACUUGCCGACCCACAGGCAGGAGAGGACGCAGUCGGUGGAGGCCGACGCGGGUCAGAGCCACCCGUCUGCUCCUCUGUCUCUGCCUCCAGACUUCCCCAGCGGUUACAAGCUUCGUUACAGCUCGCCCCCUUACACCAGUCUUGUGUCCAACAGGUCAAUGCAUGGAGAAACCAGGGCUAGAGCACUUAGACCACCCCUCUUCCAAGACGCCUCUCGAUCAAUUUAUUCCUCGCAUCCCUCCUCAAAUACCGAUCCUGCCGAAGUAAAGCUGCUACCCACAUCCAAGUCCCCCACUUUGCCUGUUGGCCCAACUCAGCCCCUAUGUAUGUCCUUGAAAAACAAGAUGCCAGAACAUUCAGAGUUUGAGCUUCUACAAGCUGAUGAAGCCAACAGUAAUCACAGCAGGAAAGGCGGCCAGAGCCACCACAACGGCCAGGUAUCGCUUGUUAAUAACAGAGUCCACAUCACCUCUCGCUCUCUGGACAGUGACGCUCACGACUCAACGUUUGUAACUGAGACACUGGUUUACAGCAUUAAACCUAAAGUGGGUGCGCCUCCCCCUGCUCCAGCCCGCGCAUCACCUGCACCUUCACCUUCACCACUUCCCACAAAUACAAAGGCCUCUGUGGAAACCAAGCGAGGUCAGCAGCCUCACAGAGGGCAGAGGGCGGCAGAGGCUCAUCCACAGAGUCACUCGGAUCAGAGCUCCAGUGGGAGCAGCUCAACAGAGAGUCAGCAGUUAGAGGGGGAGGGCUGGGGCAAGAAGAUGAAAGCUACCGUGCUGGGUAAAAGCAGGUUCUUCUCAAUGGAGAGCCCAAGUGAACAAAGUCAGAAGAAAAGCCGGUUUGCACUGAAGAAGAGCGUUAGUAGCCCGAACCCCAGUUUAUUGAGGUCGGACUCAGAGAGGAGCAACAGGCCCAACAACAAAGUGGACCAGGUCCUUAACAAACUCAGACAAACCUUCAGCAACAAAAGAUCUGAUGACGAUGCGUCGUUUCCAUGGAAAUGGAGGAGAGCCUCCCAUACGCCUUCGCUCAGUGGGUCCAGCGACACCACUACAGGCAGCAGCAAAACCCUGGAGGAGCGGGAGGACAGAGGAACCGAGGGAGCUGAGAGAUGGGCACCAAACAAAUACACCAUCGUACCGCCUUCACCGGACAGCAGAGCAGCGCCCGGGGAUCAGUUCUCAGCCGGCUCUGACCGGGACGGGCUCAGGUCCGAUAGUAAACCGCAGGUUCACGUGACGGUACACAGCCCAGCGGCGCAGCCGUUCGACUACUACAGCGACAGCGGAGCAACAAACCACUUCCUCUUCUGUAGAGAUCCUCCUGGACGAAGCGGCAACCCUCCUGCGUGUUACCCUGCUCAGUGUAGGAAGUCCACCUCCAGCCCCAGGAGCCCUUUCUCGCCCUUCUCCUCUCUCUCACCCCUCUCCCCGUUCUCCUCACCUGACGUGACAGAUGACAGCGUCUUCUACAGCCCGAAGCUGCAGCGCCGCAGAGAAUCGCCCUCGCCGUGCGACCCGGGGGAGGGUCUCAGCCUGGGGGCCUCCAGGAGGAGUCGAGCAUCCACAGGUCCCCCGAGUCCAGGCCACGCCCAGGGCAGCCAGCACUUCGCGUCCUCCUAUGCUGAUCUGAAGUACGGCAUCGAGCCCGGCAGGUCGUUUUCUGUGAGCUCGGUCCUGUCGAGUCGAGCCUCGAAGCCUGGACGCAUUUCCACUGGAUCCAGGAUCAUGAGUGUUGGCGACCUCUCCGAGUCCGUCCUGACUUGUGCAGGUGCCGGCGGGGACAGGGAUCGGGGGUCCUAUCCGCCCGCAUGGACUACGGGCCAGGAUUGCCAACCCGCUAUGAACUUGCAUUUGCCCAGUGACCCUGGUAAAGUGAGGUCCAGGUCCCUUCCUCGAUCACUGACCCUCGCUAACUGGAGCUCAGGAGUGUCCAUCUGUCACCCUGCUCCUGCUGCGUCCUCCAGGUCAGCCCGCCUCUGGAGUCCAAACAUGAACCCCUGUCACUUUGCAUGGGAUGCUGAGGCUCCUCCGACUCCUCCUCCGACACCCCCCCUGUCCCCUGUGUCCAGACGUAUAUCCAAAGCUUCCAGCCAGGCCUCUCCUCCUUUCUCCAGCUCGCCGGGAUCCCCGCAGAGUGCGGACAGCCAGACGUCCAGGGGCCAUCGGCCCUCCAGAGGUUACGUCUCCAGCCUUAGCACUUUUGAGGAGUCCUCAGACAGUAGCUCGGACACGACAACAGACGACGAGUAUUACCUAGAGACGGGCGAAGAAGAGAAGGAGACUGAGCUGUGAAAAGAAAAAUGGAGCAACGUCCACAAGAGCAAUGAUGCACAGGGGCCUCCUCUGAUCGUCUCAUUUUAACCUGUUGGGAUAGUCGGUUGCUUGCAUGAUUUGCCUUUUAAAAGUAGUGGUUGUAUCACAGAACUGAGCGAGCAUGUCAUCAGCUUAGUGUGUAACCUGAAGCGUGUACCGUAAAUACAGUUUAAGAGGAGAUUUUGACUUUCCUGCAGUUUGGAGCGUUGCAUGGCUGUAGUGAGCUGUUUAAUAAUCGCUCUGCUGGUUGAGGCUCUGGACGCCUUUUGUCUUUAGGUUUGCAUUUCGUCCUGCUUCUUAACAGUGCGUGCUGAGAUAAGCUGCUGCCAUAGAAUGUACCACGUGUGUUCUACUGUUUGGACGUUGAGAGUAGCUGCGGUUUUAUUAACCAUUUUUUUUCUUUUCACCUUUUGUAAAUGGUUUGUGUUGAUUAUUAAUAUUGUUUGUACUGUGGGAUGAAGAUGAUGUUCAGAUUAACAUUCUCUGGUGACUUCAUCACGUGCUCUAUGCAGCGCCUGCUCUUAUUUGCUCUAUUUGCACAACGACAAUAAAAAUUCCUAAUAUAUCUUUUUAUAAAUAAAC